UCGCUCGUGUAUGAUUUCUUGAGUACUGAUGAACCGCUUCGUUGUAGAGAUUGGUUUCCUGUAUCUCCAAGAAAGGUUAUAAUGGACCUCACCGAAGGGGGUAAAUAUGAUGUAGGAGACGCAGUGCAUGGGACAGUCGAGACCGGCUCUUCAGGAGUAUCUACCACAUCAUCCUAGCUUAAGAAAUGAACAUUCAUGAGAAAACUGGAAGCUGGAAAAGUUUCAAUCAAAAGGCUCUUCAGGAGUAUCUACUGCAUCAUCCUAGAUUAAGAAAUGAACUUUCAUGAGAAAACUACAAGCUGGAAAAGUUUCAAUCAAAAGCAUUAAAUGAAACUGCAACGAAAUAGGCAAAAACUCCAAAACUUCAAGCAAACACAACC
rnacentral:lncRNA from 1 species